AUUGAAGAUGGCUGCCAAUGAAGUAGCAGGCCUCUCUGCUCAGGUAGAACGGCCAACACAACACCUACAGUACACACACACACCUGAAUACCUGUUAAGCUAUUUAGUGUUCGUGAUAGUAAACGUUAACACAGAUGGCUUCUAGAUGUGGGCAGGGACAGGCAGCAGGAUCCCAGCCCCAGAGAAGACGACAGGAGUGCUCAGACCUCCAGGACACAUACCUACUCCAUGGGGAGCCUAGCCCUCCUCUCAGUAACCUGUCUCUCCAUGCCUCCUGGUGGUCCGGCAGGGACGAGCACAGAGAGACUGGGCCCUCCCUUGGCAUAGCACCCUGCAUCCCACUGCUGGCUUCCAUAGCACCCUGCAUCCCACUGCUGGCUUCCAUAGCACCCUGCAUCCCACUGCUGACUUCCAUAGCACCCUGCAUCCCACUGCUGACUUCCAUAGCACCCUGCAUCCCACUGCUGGCUUCCAUAGCACCCUGCAUCCCACUGCUGGCUUCCAUGGCACCCUGCAUCCCACUGCUGGCUUCCAUGGCACCCUGCAUCCCACUGCUGGCUUCCAUGGCACCCUGCAUCCCACUGCUGGCUUCCUUCUGAAGCUAAGCAGGGUUGGUCCUGGUUGGUCCCUGGAUGGGAGACCAGAUGCUGCUGAAGUGGUGUUGGAGGACCAAUAGCACCCACUCUUUCCUCUGGUCUAAAAAAUAUCCCAAUGCCCCAGGGCAGUGAUUGAGGACAUUGCCCUGUGCUGUCUUUCAGAUGGGACGUAUGUACCUCGGCCUAAACAUCAGCGCCACAGGAGCAACUGGUUGAGAGAAAUCAGCACGUUGCCAGACUACAGGAUUCACUGAGACGCGAGCGAGAGAAGGGUUCCAGCCUGCAGUCUCGGUGUAAACAGCAGGGGUCAGAGUUGAGGCGUCGAGAGCAGCACAGCGCCAGACUGAAGGAGAGACUAACCCAACUUGCAGAGAGACACAGAGAGAGAGGAGCCUCCAUGGAGCUGUUGAACCCGUUGCCCAGAGGUCAGGUGAAGAGGGACAGACCAGCCAAGACCAACGGAAGGAAGGAGGAGGCAGCGCUACGUGUGAUGCUGGAGCGGCGAGAGGCGGAGUUAGACCCUAUUGGACACUGUGGGUGACCAGGAAGAGGACAGAGACAACGCCAAGAUGCUGGUCCAGUCAGAGGAGUCCCUGGGCGACCAUGUGACAGGGGGUGUGGUCCAGGGAUGGAAGAGUGUGCAGAGGAGACUAGGGGACCUCCUGAGUCAGGGUCACGUGGCUGUGGGGACUGACCAGGAUAAGCUCUUGGCCCAGCUAGAGACAGAGUUGGAUCAGAGUCAACAGCUGGUCAAACUGCAGCCGCAUCUACUACAGCCGCUCUGACAGACUGCUACUUCCUGGAAGAGUGGGAGCGGCUUCAGAGCAUCUGGGCGGAGCUAGAACACCAGAAGCGGAGCUUCCAUAGGGAGAGACGGGCCUUCACCGAUGCCGCCAUCCGAUUGGGCCACGAGAUCUCUCAGAUUCUGAUCACAUGAUCCUGUCCGGCUGCCGCCAGGCCACGCCCUCCUCUGGGAUCAUGCCCUGGUUAGGGUCAUCGGGGUCUCUGCAGGUUCAUGGCAGGGUCAAAGUUUGCACCCCAGAGCUCUACUCUGCCCUCCAACUGCAGGUCCAGUGAGAGUGAUGCUCAGUCAGAGUGCUGGGAUGUGCUGGCAGAGAGGCUCCAGUUCGCCGCCACUGGUACUCGCCUGGACUGGUCAUUUCAGUAGGAUGGCUGUUUCUGUCGUUUCCAUUGUAUGUUUGUAUAAUAUUGUCUGUUUCAGUUGUUCCUUUGUUUCUAUUGUGUUUGAUGAAAUCGUUUUUCAAUGUGAUUAAUAAAGAUUAAU
rnacentral:lncRNA from 1 species